rnacentral:pre_miRNA from 1 species
UGCCCACUGAUUGGUGACUACCCAUUGGUGGCUUCCAUUAGGUGGCUUCUGAUUGGUGGUUGCCGAUUGAUAGCUGCCAAUCAGUG